CCAACCCAAAACCACCAAACCGCUUGUGAUAAUCGAACCUGGCAGCCAAUCAUGUUGCGCGAGUUUCGGAUGAAAACGCCCGCCGAAUUCACCUACUAGGAAACGCCCGACGCGAGUUCCCGUGUCAAUCGUCGUCAAAAUAAACAACGCUUCAAACAUAAUUGCGAAGUGAUACCAGUAUUUCAUCAGACCGCGGAAGAAAGGAAUCGCGUCGAAAAUUUUUGCUAUGCCGAUUGCAAGUGUGACUGCGCCGCCCGUUCGUCCUCGCAAAUUCUUCUCGCCUGAUUCUUCUUGAAGUCGGUCAAUCUCUUUCGGCU
rnacentral:misc_RNA from 1 species